UACGUAGGCAGCGAGCGUUGUUCGAAGUUACUGGGCGUAAAGGGUGUGUAGGCGGUUGUUUAAGUUUGGUGUGAAAUCUCCCGGCUCAACUGGGAGGGUGCGCCGAAUACUGAAUGACUUGGAGUGCGGGAGAGGAGAGUGGAAUUCCUGGUGUAGCGGUGAAAUGCGUAGAUAUCCGGAGGAACACCAGUGGCGAAGGCGACUUCCUGGCCUGUUCUUGACGCUGAGGCGCGAAAGCUGGGGAGCAAACGGG
rnacentral:rRNA from 1 species